GAAUUUGUGUGCUUUUUCUUCCUAAGCACAGCUUCUGUGAAUGAUCUGGGAGAUCCAACAGAAAACUAAUAAGCACUUCUAUUAUUCAUUAGAUCAAAUUAUAUGUCUUGCCUGUGAACAUCUUUUAGAAGCGCCAUUCCUGACUGAUUUUUUUUUCAGAAAUUAGAGGACCAGCAUGCUGGUAGAAGCUCAGCUGGGAGAUGUCCUCUCUGGGAGCAGGAUCUCACCUGUGGAGCAGCGGUGUUCCAGCUGUGGCUUUCUGUCUAAGAAGUACAGACUCAUAAGACAUGAAAACAAAUAUGACACAGUCUUAGAUUAAACCUGAUCUAGCACCUCUUGAAGAGUCAUCUCUCCUCAAGCCAUCUGCCUGACUUCCCCCUAUCACUCUCUACAAUCAAUAUGGAGAAAGGUAGAUACUUCUAGAAGGGGAAUAAUUCUUCCAGUCU
rnacentral:lncRNA from 12 species